GCUAGUCAUUGCUUCUAAGAUGCCGGUUCUACACUUUGCCCGGGCCUAAGAGUACCCAGCUAAGGACUGCUGCGCUGCUGAGAUGGGAGAAGUCAGGGUUUCCCUUGAAGAUGGAGGAGGUCUGGUCAACCCUGCGCUGGAACUUACGGAAGCAGAAGGAAAUCCAGGGAUCAAAAAGAAUGGCUGUUCAUCUGAGCUUAUAGAAGAAAAUAAC